rnacentral:rRNA from 1 species
AUGAUGGAGGUGAGGGCGUCGCAGGAGCAGCAGAGAGGGAUGGCCGGGAGGGAGCCGUUCGGACUGCCCAACAGCCCGCCCACGCCGCAGUCCUCCGGACCCGUGCCCAACAUGCGCAUGACCUACGGCGAGGACGGCAACGCCUACUUCCUUAAGCCGGGCUCAGCUCCGCCGCCGGCGGAGGCGUACCAGCCAGGGGGAGGCGCUGGCCUCAACAUGCCGGCUGGCCCCAACGCGGCUGCUGCGGGGGGCAAUGGCGGGCCAGCGUUCGAGCUCAACAUGGAGGAGGAGGCCGCCAAGAAGCGCGGCCGCGCAAUGAAGUACGGCGACGACGGCUCCACGUCCCUGGCAUUGGUGCCCGUGCCCAUGCCCGAGGAGCCUACUGCAGUGGCGCCCGGUGAUUCCGGGGCUUUCUCGGCGCCGGCCGUCAAACCGGCGGCGGGCGGCGUGCUGGCGGUGCCGCCGGUGGGGAUGAAGAAGCGGGGUCGCCCAAAGGGCUCCACCAACAAGGUGAAGAAGCAAGACAAGGUCAUGUCUGCGCUUGCUUUCAUCGGGACUGCAGGAGCUGGCUUUACUCCACAUGUAAUUGCUGUUCAAGCUGGAGAGGAUGUGGCUGCAAAGAUCCUGUCAUUUGCGCAGCAUGGAGUUCGUGCAGUUGUUGUUCUUUCAGCAAAUGGCGCCAUUUCAAACGUGACCCUUAGGCAAUCUGCCACUUCAGGUGGGACGGUCACAUACGAGGGCCGAUUUGAAAUACUGUCACUGUCUGGAUCGUUCACCGUGCAAGAGACUGGAGGCCAUCGUAGCCGGACCGGUGGGCUGAGUGUUUCACUCGCAAGUCCUGAUGGCCGCGUCUUGGGUGGCGGAAUUGCUGGACUUCUGAUUGCCUGCACACCUAUUCAGGUUGUGGUGGGAACCUUCAACACGGUCGCCGAGAAGAAGGCGCCGAAGCACCAAGCUGCUGCUGCACAUGAGCCCGCAUCCGCGCCACCGAGGAUGACGCCGAACUUCGUGCCGGCGCCGAUCGCCGUGCCGCCGCUCGCGACCGCUCCCAUCAGCGUCGGGAUGGCCCAGAACAGCCCGCCGUCCAGGGGCACGCUCAGCGAGUCCUCCGGGAGCCCGAUGAACCAGGGCGUGCCGGCCGCGGCCACUCCCAGCAACAGCGGCCUGUCCAGCAUGCCCUGGAAGUGA